GGCCGUUUGGUCUAAUUGGUUAGGAUUCUCGUCUACGAGCUGGAUCUUGCGAUCCAUAAGGAAACGAGCGGUUCUGGGUUCGAGUCCCAGGAUGGUCA